rnacentral:rRNA from 1 species
UACGUAGGGGGCAAGCGUUGUCCGGAAUCAUUGGGCGUAAAGCGCGUGUAGGCGGUCCGGUAAGUCCGCUGUGAAAGUCGGGGGCUCAACCCUCGGAUGCCGGUGGAUACUGUCGGGCUUGAGUACGGAAGAGGCGAGUGGAAUUCCUGGUGUAGCGGUGAAAUGCGUAGAUAUACGGAGGAACACCAGAGGCGAAGGCGGAUCGCUGGGCCAACACUGACGCUGAUGUGCGAAAGCUAGGGGAGCAAACGGG